rnacentral:rRNA from 1 species
UGGGGAAUUUUGGACAAUGGGCGAAAGCCUGAUCCAGCAAUGCCGCGUGUGUGAAGAAGGCCUUCGGGUUGUAAAGCACUUUUGUCCGGAAAGAAAUCCUUGGCUCUAAUACAGUCGGGGGAUGACGGUACCGGAAGAAUAAGCACCGGCUAACUACGUGCCAGCAGCCGCGGUAAUACGUAGGGUGCAAGCGUUAAUCGGAAUUACUGGGCGUAAAGCGUGCGCAGGCGGUUUGCUAAGACCGAUGUGAAAUCCCCGGGCUCAACCUGGGAACUGCAUUGGUGACUGGCAGGCUAGAGUAUGGCAGAGGGGGGUAGAAUUCCACGUGUAGCAGUGAAAUGCGUAGAGAUGUGGAGGAAUACCGAUGGCGAAGGCAGCCCCCUGGGCCAAUACUGACGCUCAUGCACGAAAGCGUGGGGAGCAAACAGGAUUAGAUACCCUGGUAGUCCACGCCCUAAACGAUGUCAACUAGUUGUUGGGGAUUCAUUUCCUUAGUAACGUAGCUAACGCGUGAAGUUGACCGCCUGGGGAGUACGGUCGCAAGAUUAAAACUUAAAUGAAUUGACGGGGUCG